rnacentral:lncRNA from 12 species
GCGGUGUAGCCAGGUGGGGAGAGCAAGGAUUCCCGUGUCCAGGUGCCGCAGCCCCGCUCCUCCCCUCGGCUCCCGGGCCCAGAGCCUCGGCCAAGCCCGGGGCUCGGGACGCGUUGGGCCGUGAGCACUGAGCGAGUAACGUGAUGCAUCUUCUUCGUCUAGAACCCGAGCCCUGCGGAGCUCCCGGCGGCCAGGCCUCGAGGCGAUGCGGCCGCGCCGCGAGAGCGGGGGGCGCGACCGCCCCUGGAGACCGGAGAGCUGGCGCUGGGGAAGGGGGCACCCCCUGUCGCCGGUUGGCACUGCCCCAGACAGUGCGACCCACUUGGCCCCCCGGCCUCCCCACCCCCCUCCCGAGCCUCUGCCUCCCCGCCGAGCGCCAAGUGAGCGCGCGGCAGGGGGCACAGGGCGCGACGCCGCCGGGCCCCGAGCCGCCCCUUACCUGGCUGGAGGGGGUUUCCCAGGAGGAGCCGUAGUUGUAAAAGAAGGAAGAGAAGAAGGUGUCUUCCGACAGCCCGCAGCACGCCAUGCUCUGGAUGCAAAUAAAAUGAGGAAAGGGGGGAAAAGAAAGAAAAAAAAAAAGGCACACACACAAAAGCAACCCAAAAUUUUCAAAAUCAAAUUAAAACCAAUAAGCGAGGAGGAAACGCUCUCCGAAAUAAAGAAAAGGAGGUGGGGGGGGGGAAGGGAACGGCGAAGGGAACGCAAACUCUCGGCGGUGCUCGCUCUCGGGGAGACGAGGGAUGCUCGGGAUGCUCGGGAUGCUCGGGAUGCUCGGGAUGCUCGGGAUGCUCGGGAUGCUCGGGCUGCCGCCGCCGCCGCCGCCUUCUCGAGACGGUGCCUACAGAGGCUCUGACCUAACUGCCUCCAUCCAUGUACCUGCCUGUGACCUGGACUGUCCUGCUGAGAGCUCUCCCCCAGGCGGCCCCAGGAGCUGUAGGGCAGGAGGCGUGCUCUUCCUGCUGGGAGAGCAAAGCCAGGAAGAUGUAAGCCUGCAGCUCUUCCAGGCCGUGUUCCUCCCACGAGAAUGAGCCCAACCGCCUGAGCCUGCAGCCAGCCCAGAGGAAAGCCGGCCUGAAGAUCCAGCCCCAACAGGAGGCACCGCAGGUUCCCGACGUACAUCUUUGGAGCAACUGGAUCCAGCCCAACCUGAAGCUGGACACCUCCCUGGCCUUUCCAAGUUCAUGAGCCAGUAAGCGCCUCUUGAAGUAUACGCCAGGUGGAGCUGCGUUCAUGGAAGCCAAGCACCUUGGCCGAGAUCACACAUCUAACGAGUGUGGAGCAAUACUCAAACCCAAGGAACCCUAAUUGCAUUUGGCGCCACGGCACAUGUUCUGAGCCAUCACGCUCAACGGAGCAUCUGCCACAGGGCAGAGCUCAGAGCCACAUCCUCCUUCUCGUUCCUUGACCCUCGCUGGGGGCCUCUUUCCUUCCAGAAGCAGCUGCCGACGAUAAGGAAGGGAUCGAGGUGCAUCUCGGUUUUAUUUGAAUGGUUUGUCCCAUCGAAUUGUUAAAAGUGCAGCCACGUCAUAAUGACGGUCACUUGCAGAAAGUCUGCAGUAGAAGCGAAAGAAAGUUUCAAAAGAAAAAGAAAUAGGGGCACCUGGGUGGCUCCGCGGCUGAGCAUCUGCCUUCAGCUCAGGGCAUGAGACCCCGGGGUCCCCGGAUCGAGCCCCGCAUCGGGCUCUCUGCAUGGAGCCUGCUUCCCCCUCUGCCUGGGUCUCUGCCUCUCUCGCUGUCUCUCAUGAAGAAAUAAAAAAAAAAAAAAAAAAAAAAAAAAAAAAAAU